rnacentral:rRNA from 1 species
AGUUGGUGAGGUAAAUGCUCACCCAAGCCUAUGACGGGUAGCUUGGUCUUGAGAGGAUGGUCAGUCAGACUGGGACUGCGACACGGCCCAGACUCCUACGGGAGGCAGCAACUAGGAAUUGUGCGCAAUGGACGAAAGUCUGACGCCGCGACAUCGCGUGGAGGAUGAAGGUCUUCGGAUUGUAAACUCCUUUUCUUACCGAACAAGUUCUGAGUGUAGGUAAGGAAUAAGUGCCUGCUAACCACGCGCCAGAAGCAUCGGUAAUACGUGGGGCACGAGCGUUAUCCGGAUUUACUGGGCGUAAAGAGAAGCGUAGGCGGCUCGAUAAGUUUGGUGUUAAAUCUUCCGGCUCAACCGGAAACAAGCACCGAAAACUAUCGAGAUUGAGUCGAGUAGGGAAGAGGGGAAUUCCUGGUGGAGCGGUUAAAUGCGUAGAUAUCAGGAGGAAUACCAAGGGCGAAGGCACCUCUUUGGACUCGUACUGACGCUGAGGCUCGAAAGCGUGGGUAGCAAAACGGAUUAGAUACCCGUGUAGUCCACGCCGUAAACGAUCCCUGUUAGAUGUAUG